ACAUGCAGUCGACGCUUUUUCUUUCACCGGAGCUUGCUCCACCGAAAGAAAAAGAGUGGCGAACGGGUGAGUAACACGUGGGUAACCUGCCCAUCAGAAGGGGAUAACACUUGGAAACAGGUGCUAAUACCGUAUAACACUAUUUUCCGCAUGGAAGAAAGUUGAAAGGCGCUUUUGCGUCACUGAUGGAUGGACCCGCGGUGCAUUAGCUAGUUGGUGAGGUAACGGCUCACCAAGGCAACGAUGCAUAGCCGACCUGAGAGGGUGAUCGGCCACACUGGGACUGAGACACGGCCCAGACUCCUACGGGAGGCAGCAGUAGGGAAUCUUCGGCAAUGGACGAAAGUCUGACCGAGCAACGCCGCGUGAGUGAAGAAGGUUUUCGGAUCGUAAAACUCUGUUGUUAGAGAAGAACAAGGAUGAGAGUAAAAUGUUCAUCCCUUGACGGUAUCUAACCAGAAAGCCACGGCUAACUACGUGCCAUCAC
rnacentral:rRNA from 1 species